UCGGCAGCACGGGUGAUCGCGCUUAACGGCGAGGAAAGUCCGGGCUAUACAGGGCAGGGUGCCGGAUAACGUCCGGUGGAGGAAACUCUAAGGAAAGUGCAACAGAAAAGAAACCGCCUCUUCGGAGGUAAGGGUGGAAUGGCAGUGUAAGAGACUACCGCCUUCAC
rnacentral:RNase_P_RNA from 1 species